AUUGAACGCUGGCGGCAGGCUUAACACAUGCAAGUCGAGCGAGCGGCGGACGGGUGAGUCAUGUCUGGGAAAAUGCCUGAUGGAGGGGGAUAACUACUGGAAACGGUAGCUAAAACCGCAUACCAUCAGAUGUGCCCAGAUGGGAUUAGCUAGUAGGGGGGGUAAUGGCUCACCAAGGCUACGAUCCCUAGCUGGUAUGAGAGGAUGACCGGCCACACUGGAACUGAGACACGGUCCAGACUCCUACGGGAGGCAGCAGUGGGGAAUAUUGCACAAUGGGCGCAAGCCUGAUGCAGCCAGGCCGCGUGUGUGAAGAAGGCCUUCGGGUUGUAAAGCACUUUCAGCGAGGAGGCGUUACUCGCAGAAGAAGCAACGGCUAACUCCGUGCCAGCAGCCGCGGUAAUUC
rnacentral:rRNA from 1 species